rnacentral:miRNA from 1 species
UUGCACUUGUCUCAGUGA